UUGCCAUAACACGGGCAAAAAUAUUGCCGUUCAGUGCCUUCGUAACUUGAAUUUUUUGUGAAACGGGGUAUUCAUAAGUUGGGGUUCCACUGUAUAUGUAACUGUCCGUUCUUUGAAAGCUUUCAUCUUGGAAACAGUGUAAGAUGACCUGGCUGAUAUAUGCUCCAGCCCCCCUUCCCCGUGACCCUGAUAAGGACAUGCAGAUGAGAAUGCAUUGAUGAAUAGAUGAUCCAAACAGUUUUGGUUUGAGACAGGGAGAGAAAAGAAAAAGCUAACAUCACUCAGGGAUGGAGAAACAUAAGAAAGACAGGACAGAAGAGGAAGAAGAGAGGUUAGAUUUAAAGGAUGUCAGUGGGGCCGUUUGAACUCCUGAUGGCGUAGCUGGGAAUCGCAUUUGAGAAGGCACAGAAAUUAUUUCAGAACCAACUGACACAGAGCAGCAGGUCAGAAUGGUCAGGGAUAGGAUAUUCAGGUGGGGAAACGUGGAUGACGGGGAAGUGGAUGUGGAGAGCAGCGUGGAAAGUUUAGAUCAACAGUCCAGAACACAUAAAGGAUGAAUUCUGGAGCAGAGCAACCAAAUCCAAUGGAGUUCAGGCCUGAGAAGCAGAGCUGAUGAGGGCUGCAGACUGGGGUUCAGCAGUGUAGAUGGCAGAUGAGAGAGAGGAAUAGGCCUGGAAAAGAUGUGAGAGAUGGAAGCAGAUGUGGAUGAUGUGAUAAACUUUGACUGCUACAGUUGAUUAAUAUAUUAAAAUGUUUUGUUUUGCUUUGUUUUGUGUUUUGCUGUAGCUAGCUGUGUAGUGAUUUUUAAUAUGAAGCUAAUGACCUGUUUCAAAAUGAACACUUUUACAUAGCCUAUAUACUUUUUUUUAGCUUAGCUGAUAGGACAUGUGAUCCAAAACUUGGAUUUUUGUUUUUGCAUAUUUUGUUCUCCUAAAACAAUUACAUUGCUUAUAUUUUGGUUAUUGUGGUGC